AUUGAACGCUGGCGGCAUGCCUUACACAUGCAAAGUCGAACGGCAGCGGACCUUCGGGUGCCGGCGAGUGGCGAACGGGUGAGUAAUAUAAUCGGAACGUACCUUUCGAGUGGGGGAUAACGUAGCGAAAGUUACGCUAAUACCGCAUAUUCUGUGAGCAGGAAAGCAGGGGAUCGCAAGACCUUGCGCUGAUUGAGCGGCCGAUAUCAGAUUAGCUAGUUGGUGAGGUAAAGGCUCACCAAGGCGACGAUCUGUAGCGGGUCUGAGAGGAUGAUCCGCCACACUGGAACUGAGACACGGUCCAGACUCCUACGGGAGGCAGCGAGUGGGGAAUUUUGGACAAU
rnacentral:rRNA from 1 species